GCCAGGUGUGGUGGUGCACACCUGUUGUCCCACCUACUUAGGAGACUAAGGCAGAAGGAUCUCUUGAGCUCAAGAAUUUGAGACCAGCCUGGGUAGUAUAGUGAGAUUCGGUCUCAA
rnacentral:sRNA from 1 species